CAAGCCCAUCCAUCUGCAGAUGCAGCCCAUCUCGCCCAUCUUAACCCCGCUGCCAUUAUGUUUGUUGCACUCGCAGUCAGUUAGUAAAAAGUUACGUGACACAAUUAAAUAUUUUAUGCCCCAAGACGUUUAUGCCGUGUCGGUGGCAGCGGCUGCCACUAAAGUGCAAUUGGCAAGUGCCGCCCCCAGCACGCCUUGCCCCAGACCUAGCCGCCCCCUCGAAAGUUGUGUGUUAUAAUUAAAUAUUACACGCAAUGCAACUGAAGUAUAGCAAAGUUAUGCAGCUUCUUUCUGCACUGCGGCCGGGCAAAGUUUUCCCUCAAAUUAUGCAGUUAAUGAAACAAACUCCUGAGUGAAAUACAUAUCGCGUGGGCAUCACGUCGACCUGAAACUGGAUACGCAACGCAGCAGCUGCUUAUUUCACAUGUAAUUUGGCUGGAAGCUAACUUAUCAAAUUGACGGCGGCGCAUAAGGUCCUUGCAAUCCGUGUAUUUCGUGUGAUACGUGUAGAGCGAAGCAGCUAUCAAAAUCCUUGCAGGCAACAUCCAUUUGAUUAAAGUAACAACAUUUUGGGUGUAUUUAGAUUAACUGCGAAAGGGAUUUCCAGCCACAAAGCCAACAGAAAUCAAAAGGAAUUAAAUUGAAUCUAUGAGAAAACAUCGCAUACUCCGCACUAAGGUACUAUUCGACUAAGAAGAGGAAUUUGAACUGGUAACCUUCUUGUUACUAGUUCAACUUGGACAACUUAUGGACCACGACUUGCUUUUUAUUAUUGAAAACUUCUAAAAACCUCAUAAAAGCCAUCUGGAAUAGCUCUCUAUUAAACCUAUAGAUUAAAUCUAAAAAAAAAAGCCCAACUAUUUAUGAUAAGAUUAUU